AGCAUGUUUGGGAAGCGAGAGGAAGGAAUGUAGGUACUGUAAUUUCUAUAUUUAGCUCCUUCUCUUCAAGCCCCUCUCCAACCCCCCUCAUUUGGAUACAAAAAUAAAAAUAAAAAAGCCCCCCUCCUCUUUUAACCAUGCAGUCCCCAUUCAAUUAAUUCUUAAAAUCAUGAAAUAUAUUGCAUUUCUGCAGUAUUUUAAUAAAAUAUAUUACAACGGUAACUCUGAAUAUGGACAUUUUUUAAUGGUAACCAGACUUAUUG